rnacentral:tRNA from 1 species
ACUGAAGAUGCCAAGAUGGCUGCCAC